rnacentral:rRNA from 1 species
UACGUAGGGACCGAGCGUUGUCCGGAUUCAUUGGGCGUAAAGAGCUCGUAGGCGGCCACUCAAGUCGAAUGUGAAACCUCGAGGCUCAACCUCGAGCCUGCAUUCGAUACUGGGCGGCUAGAGUCUGGUAGGGGGAUCUGGAAUUCCUGGUGUAGCGGUGGAAUGCGCAGAUAUCAGGAGGAACACCGGUGGCGAAGGCGGGAUCCUGGGCCAGUACUGACGCUGAGGAGCGAAAGCGUGGGGAGCAACAGG